rnacentral:rRNA from 1 species
UACGAAGGGGGCUAGCGUUGCUCGGAAUUACUGGGCGUAAAGCGCACGUAGGCGGCUUUCUAAGUCGGGGGUGAAAUCCUGGAGCUCAACUCCAGAACUGCCUUCGAUACUGGAGAGCUCGAGUCCGGAAGAGGUGAGUGGAACUGCGAGUGUAGAGGUGAAAUUCGUAGAUAUUCGCAAGAACACCAGUGGCGAAAGGCGGCUCACUGGCCCGGUACUGACGCUGAGGUGCGAAAGCCAGGGGAGCAAACGGG